GGCUGAUUCUCCCGGGUUCCGAGACUGAGUGGGCAUUGCUGCUGGAUAAACAGGCCCUGUCCUUCCCUCCCUUCCUCACCCCUCUGAAGUUCUUCCUCAGGAGGAUCCUCAGCCUCUCAUGCAAACAAGCCCCUGUGGGUCCACCCCCCAUCCUCUGGCAUGACCCUACCUGUCAGAGUCCUAGGCCGGGUGCAGAUGGCUCAGCGUCCCUCUGGGGAGGCAGCUGAAGCCAAGGUGCAGCUGUCAAGGAAGAAGUGACCAUGGGCAGGAGCCCUGCAGGCAUAGGGCAGUCAGCCCCUGGAUCUUGUCCCAGGCAAGCAGAGAUAAUAACACAGCCAAGAGCUGUGGGAAUGACCACCAUCUGGUGACCCAGUUGGUGUCACUAGAACACACUUCCUGGGGGACUGGCGAUGAGAAAGGAUUCCAGCUCACUUCCUGGUGUGAGCCAGCUCCCAGGAAAAGAAGGUUUUUUCCAAGUCCUUUUCUCACACAUCCCCACUCCCAACACACACACACACACACACACACACACACACACAUCA